UGGGGAAUAUUGCACAAUGGGGGAAACCCUGAUGCAGCGACGCCGCGUGAACGAAGAAGGUAUUCGUAUUGUAAAGUUCUGUCCUAUGGGAAGAUAAUGACAGUACCAUAGAAGAAAGCUCCGGCUAAAUACGUGCCAGCAGCCGCGGUAAUACGUAUGGAGCGAGCGUUGUCCGGAAUUAUUGGGCGUAAAGGGUACGCAGGCGGUUUAAUAAGUCGAAUGUUAAAGAUCGGGGCUCAACCCCGUAAAGCAUUGGAAACUGAUAAACUUGAGUAGUGGAGAGGAAAGUGGAAUUCCUAGUGUAGUGGUGAAAUACGUAGAUAUUAGGAGGAAUACCAGUAGCGAAGGCGACUUUCUGGACACAAACUGACGCUGAGGUACGAAAGCGUGGGGAGCAAACAGG
rnacentral:rRNA from 2 species